rnacentral:sRNA from 1 species
UGACGUCUUCCAUUGCCUUGGGCUUGGGU